UCUUAUGUACAUGCCUACAACAUAGCAUUAAUGCACCAUAUCCCAUUAGAACUCCAUAGUUAAAUGCGCUUGGGAUAGAGUAGUACUAGGAUGGGUCGCCUGGGAAGUCCUAGUAUUUUACAUGAC
rnacentral:rRNA from 1 species